rnacentral:rRNA from 1 species
AUUGAACGCUGGCGGCAUGCCUUACACAUGCAAGUCGAACGGUAACAGGUCUUCGGAUGCUGACGAGUGGCGAACGGGUGAGUAAUGCAUCGGAACGUGCCCAGUCGUGGGGGAUAACGCAGCGAAAGCUGCGCUAAUACCGCAUACGAUCUAUGGAUGAAAGCGGGGGACCGUAAGGCCUCGCGCGAUUGGAGCGGCCGAUGUCAGAUUAGGUAGUUGGUGGGGUAAAGGCUCACAAAGCCGACGAUCUGUAGCUGGUCUGAGAGGACGACCAGCCACACGGGGACGGAGACGCGGCCCAGACUCCUACGGGAGGCAGCAGUGGGGAAUUUUGGAAAAUGGGCGCAAGCCUGAUCCAGCCAUGCCGCGUGCAGGAUGAAGGCCUUCGGGUUGUAAACUGCUUUUGUACGGAACGAAAAGACUCCUUCUAAUAAAGGGGGUCCAUGACGGUACCGUAAGAAUAAGCACCGGCUAACUACGUGCCAGCCGCCGCCGUAAGAC